rnacentral:rRNA from 1 species
GAUGAACGCUGGCGGCGUGCUUGACACAUGCAAGUCGAACGGAAAGGCUCCUGCUUGCAGGGGUACUCGAGUGGCGAACGGGUGAGUAACACGUGGGUGAUCUGCCCUGCACUUCGGGAUAAGCCUGGGAAACUGGGUCUAAUACCGGAUAGGACCACAUUUUGGAUGGUGUGGUGGAAAGUUUUUCGGUGUGGGAUGAGCUCGCGGCCUAUCAGCUUGUUGGUGGGGUAAUGGCCUACCAAGGCGUCGACGGGUAGCCGGCCUGAGAGGGUGUACGGCCACAUUGGGACUGAGAUACGGCCCAGACUCCUACGGGAGGCAGCAGUGGGGAAUAUUGCACAAUGGGCGCAAGCCUGAUGCAGCGACGCCGCGUGGGGGAUGACGGCCUUCGGGUUGUAAACUCCUUUCGCUAGGGACGAAGCGCAAGUGACGGUACCUGGAGAAGAAGCACCGGCUAACUACGUG